UACGUAGGCGGCAAGCGUUGUCCGGAAUUAUUGGGCGUAAAGGGAGCGCAGGCGGGAAACUAAGCGGAUCUUAAAAGUGCGGGGCUCAACCCCGUGAUGGGGUCCGAACUGGUUUUCUUGAGUGCAGGAGAGGAAAGCGGAAUUCCCAGUGUAGCGGUGAAAUGCGUAGAUAUUGGGAAGAACACCAGUGGCGAAGGCGGCUUUCUGGACUGUAACUGACGCUGAGGCUCGAAAGCUAGGGUAGC
rnacentral:rRNA from 1 species